rnacentral:rRNA from 1 species
AUUGAACGCUGGCGGCAGGCUUAACACAUGCAAGUCGAGCGGGGAAAGGUAGCUUGCUCCCUGACCUAGCGGCGGACGGGUGAGUAAUGCUUAGGAAUCUGCCUAUUAGUGGGGGACAACAUCUCGAAAGGGAUGCUAAUACCGCAUACGUCCUACGGGAGAAAGCAGGGGACCUUCGGGCCUUGCGCUAAUAGAUGAGCCUAAGUCGGAUUAGCUAGUUGGUGGGGUAAAGGCCUACCAAGGCGACGAUCUGUAGCGGGUCUGAGAGGAUGAUCCGCCACACUGGGACUGGGACACGGCCCAGACUCCUACGGGAGGCAGCAGUGGGGAAUAUUGGACAAUGGGGGGAACCCUGAUCCAGCCAUGCCGCGUGUGUGAAGAAGGCCUUUUGGUUGGAAAGAACGUUAAGCGAGGAGGAGGCUACCGAGAUUAAUACUCUUGGAUAGUGGACGUUACUCGCAGAAUAAGCACCGGCUAACUCUGUG